UAAAUUUUAUCUCUAUCUUCAUCACAAUAUUCAAUAACAGUGGAACAAAAUGUGUCUUUUAUUUUUCCUUGAAAAUAGAAAAAAAAUAUUAUGAAUACAAAUAAAAUGGAUAAUAAUAAUAAAUAAAAAAAUAGAAAAAAAAUAUUAUGGUGGUAGAUCCGCAAAUCUAAACCCGGAUCUACCGUCAUCCCUAAAAGUAACAACAAAUCUCAUAUUUCCUCUGCCAAAACUUAC
rnacentral:lncRNA from 1 species